rnacentral:rRNA from 1 species
AAUAUUGGAAAAUGUUGACAACCCUGAUACAGCCAUGCCGCGUGUGUGAAGAAUGUAAUCGGACUAUAAAGCACUUUAAGUUGGGAGGAAGGGCUUUAGGUUAAUACGCUGAAGUUUUGUCGAUACCAACAGAAUAAGCACUGACUAACUCUGUGCCAGCAGCCACGGUAACACAUAGGGUGCAAGCGUUAAUCGGAAUUACUGGGCGUAAAGCGCGCGUAGGUGGUUCAGUAUGAUGGGUGUGAAAUCCCCGGGCUUAACCUGGGAACUGCUUUCAUAACUGCUGAGCUAGAGUACGGUAGAGGGUAGUGGAAUUUCCUGUGUAGCGGUGAAAUGCGUAGAUAUAGGAAGGAACACCAGUGGCGAAGGCGACUACCUGGACUGAUACUGACACUGAGGUGCGAAAGCGUGGGGAGCAAAC